UACGGAGGGGGCUAGCGUUGUUCGGAAUUACUGGGCGUAAAGCGCGCGUAGGCGGACCUGCAAGUCGGGGGUGAAAGCCCGAGGCUCAACCUCGGAACUGCCUUCGAUACUGCGGGUCUCGAGUCCGGGAGAGGUGAGUGGAAUUCCUAGUGUAGAGGUGAAAUUCGCAGAUAUUAGGAAGAACACCAGUGGCGAAGGCGGCUCACUGGCCCGGUACUGACGCUGAGGCGCGAAAGCGUGGGGAGCAAACAGG
rnacentral:rRNA from 1 species